rnacentral:rRNA from 1 species
UACGUAGGCGGCGCUGUCAGUCGGGUGUGAAAUCCCACGGCUCAACCGUGGAACUGCGCCCGAUACUGCAGUGCUUGAGGGAGACAGAGGUAAGCGGAACUGAUGGUGGAGCGGUGAAAUGCGUUGAUAUCAUCAGGAACACCGGUGGCGAAAGCGGCUUACUGGGUCUCUUCUGACGCUGAGGUACGAAAGCUAGGGGAGCGAAGG